rnacentral:rRNA from 1 species
GACAGAGGGUGCAAACGUUGCUCGGAAUCACUGGGCGUAAAGGGCGUGUAGGCGGGUAGAUAAGUCGGGCGUGAAAUCCCUAGGCUCAACCUAGGAACUGCACUCGAAACUGUUUAUCUUGAGUGCCGGAGAGGAAAGCGGAAUUCCUGGUGUAGAGGUGAAAUUCGUAGAUAUCAGGAGGAACACCAGUGGCGAAGGCGGCUUU